rnacentral:rRNA from 1 species
AACACAUGCAAGUCGAACGGCAGCACAGAGGAGCUUGCUCCUUGGGUGGCGAGUGGCGGACGGGUGAGGAAUACGUCGGAAUCUGCCUAUUUGUGGGGGAUAACGUAGGGAAACUUACGCUAAUACCGCAUACGACCUACGGGUGAAAGUGGGGGACCCCCAAGGCCUCACGCAGAUAGAUGAGCCGACGUCGGAUUAGCUAGUUGGCGGGGUAAAGGCCCACCAAGGCGACGAUCCGUAGCUGGUCUGAGAGGAUGAUCAGCCACACUGGAACUGAGACACGGUCCAGACUCCUACGGGAGGCAGCAGUGGGGAAUAUUGGACAAUGGGCGCAAGCCUGAUCCAGCCAUGCCGCGUGUGUGAAGAAGGCCUUCGGGUUGUAAAGCACUUUUGUCCGGAAAGAAAAGCUUAGGGUUAAUAACCCUGAGUCAUGACGGUACCGGAAGAAUAAGCACCGGCUAACUUCGUGCCAGCAGCCGCGGUAAUACGAAGGGUGCAAGCGUUACUCGGAAUUACUGGGCGU